UGUACCAAUAUCUUUCGUUUGGUGCAACAAAUUUAGUUCUCUGCCAUAGCCAUCAUCCAUUCAAUUGUUUCUCCACUUUAUUCAUUCGUGUAUUUAUGAAAAUCUGCCAUAACUAUUCAGAACGUUCAUUCAUGUUGAACAAAGGCAGUGGGAUUCACUGCCUCCAACUUCGUCGUGUCGUGUCGUGUUGUGUCCCCCCCAGUGUCCUUGCUCUGUUGCCAUCAUGUGGAAGGGUCGUAACACCCACGCGGCGCCUUUCUCCAUGGGAAACUCCAGCGUGGAAUUGAAUCCAACCCAUUUCAAGAGGACUGGUACCAGAGCCCAAGCUGUGUCAAGAUGGCAACUGGUACACAAUCCAUUCCGUCGACCCCAGCCUGACAAUAAAGACGGAGUCCAAAUAACGGUGAUCCGUCGUUGAAAUUGGACUGCUGCACUGAAAUAAUAUAUUUUGCCGAUGCACUUUGUGAGGCUGUCUCACCGCUCAGAUAUGACUCCGUUUUUCCUCUGACAAGCAAAUCGCAGAUGCACAAAUGAACCGUCACCGUAUCAAAACAUCCAUACUGUUAUGUCAGAUUACACGAAGACAGCCCAAUUUUGAGCCAACAGACGUGUCGCAGACAAACGUACUGUCUCGUAGCUGAUUUGGAGUUGUCUUGACGUGUCGAAGCCUGUGUCGUGUGACAUGCUCAACGACUGGUCGUGAGGCAUCUGGGACACUUUACGGCCGCAUCGAGGGAAGUCUGGCACGUAAGAAUUUUUGUUGAUC